AUGGAAAUUCAUGGUUUAUCAGUUAUAUUCUUAGUGUGUAACUGUAAACAUGUAUGGAUUUCGUCUGCUUCCAAACAUUCUCCUUUUGAUUAUUAUUGGUUGAGGCGUAGCUUUGUUAUGUCGUCUAGAGUUCCAAUAUGCUACAUAUUGGUUGAUAUGUGCAUUGGACGUGCUCGAUUGCAUGUAUAUAUUGCUCCUUUGGCCUCUGCACCUCGAAACAGACACCUCGAUGGCCUGGCAGAUUAUUGCGGCCUUGGAUUUGUAGCCGUGGCCAAUGCGUACACAAGGGCAGUGAUCCGUUUCACCACUUGA
rnacentral:rRNA from 1 species